GCCAGACUCCUACGGGAGGCAGCAGUGGGGAAUAUUGCACAAUGGGGGAAACCCUGAUGCAGCGACGCCGCGUGAAGGAAGAAGUAUUUCGGUAUGUAAACUUCUAUCAGCAGGGAAGAAAAUGACGGUACCUGACUAAGAAGCCCCGGCUAACUACGUGCCAGCAGCCGCGGUAAUACGUAGGGGGCAAGCGUUAUCCGGAUUUACUGGGUGUAAAGGGAGCGUAGACGGCCAUGCAAGCCAGGGGUGAAAGCCCGGAGCCCAACCCCGGGACUGCCCUUGGAACUGCAUGGCUGGAGUGCGGGAGGGGCAGGCGGAAUUCCUAGUGUAGCGGUGAAAUGCGUAGAUAUUAGGAGGAACACCAGUGGCGAAGGCGGCUUGCUGGACAGUAACUGACGUUGAGGCUCGAAAGCGUGGGGAGCAAACAGGAUUAGAUACCCGAGUAUAA
rnacentral:rRNA from 1 species